rnacentral:rRNA from 1 species
UACGUAGGGGGCAAGCGUUGUCCGGAUUUAUUGGGCGUAAAGAGCGUGUAGGCGGUCUGGUAGGUCCGUUGUGAAAACUCGAGGCUCAACCUCGAGACGCCGAUGGAAACCAUCAGACUAGAGUCCGGAAGAGGAGAGUGGAAUUCCUGGUGUAGCGGUGAAAUGCGCAGAUAUCAGGAAGAACACCCGUGGCUAAGGCGGCUCUCUAGUACGGUACUGACGCUGAGACGCGAAAGCUAGGGGAGCGAACGGG